rnacentral:rRNA from 1 species
UUUCAACGGAGAGUUUGAUCCUGGCUCAGGAUGAACGCUGGCGGCGUGCUUAACACAUGCAAGUCGAACGAUGAUCCCAGCUUGCUGGGGGAUUAG